GCAUUGGUGGUUCAGUGGUAGAAUUCUCACUUGCUAUGCAAGAGGCCUGGGUUCGAUUCCCAGCCAAUGCA